UCCUCUUGCUCCAACAACCUGAGCAACCU
rnacentral:piRNA from 1 species